CACUCUGCAGAAAUGGGCACACGAUCAGUAAUAGAAGCUUCAUGCAAUAUAAUUUAUCUACUCACUUGAAAGUGCAUAUUUUCAAUGACCAUUUCUUCUCAAUAUAAAUGCAAAUUCUUGGUACAACAACACAAAAUACAAACAAAACAUUACAAUAACAAAACAGCGAGAUUGUUAUUGAAGUUUAUCAAAUACGUUUUAGCAAAAAAUCUUAAGAAAACCAAAAAAUGUAUACAAAUUAACAUAUAGCACUGACACAUGGUUGCGCACCACGACCUCGUGUGAAGGCUCAAAGUCGCGAACUAAAGAGAAUUGAUUAUUAUUAAAAAAAUACUGUUAUAACUACUUUGUUAUUCCUAAAACUGAAUGAGCAAACUUCAAAUCCAAGAUUGUUAUGACCCUGAGAAAACACAUCACUGACAUAUUAAAAAAGGACAAAUAGAACUUAUAUUUAUUCAAUUACGAAUGUUUCGAUAAACAUGUUUAUCAUUCAAGUUUCGCAUUAUUCUCGAAUACAGAAAUGUGCUAACUUA